UACGAAGGGUGCGAGCGUUAAUCGGAAUUACUGGGCGUAAAGCGUGCGCAGGCGGCUUUGCAAGACAGAUGUGAAAUCCCCGGGCUCAACCUGGGAACUGCAUUUGUGACUGCAAGGCUAGAGUACGGCAGAGGGGGAUGGAAUUCCGCGUGUAGCAGUGAAAUGCGUAGAUAUGCGGAGGAACACCAAUGGCGAAGGCA
rnacentral:rRNA from 1 species